GAGUUCAGUGCACUAUCUGUUGACCCACAAUAGCUUGUAGUCGACUAUGGGGUUGAGAGUAGAGUUCACUUUCUUUUCUGAGUAGGGAUGUUCCUGUUUUAGAUUUUGUUGCAAUUAAUUUACCAUCAGCAAACAUCUCUUUUGUUUUUUCGUUAUUACAGGCGGGACCUGGCAGACAAGUAGAUGAUACCAUUAUAAUUGAAUUACAACAGAGAAUAAGAGAUCUCCAGGAGAAGCUUGAUUCUGUUGGUUCAUAUGAGGCUACCCUGUCAGCUCGAAUUUCCACGCAGGAUGAGAAGAUGGCAUCGCUAGAGGACAAGAUUUUGAAUCCACAGAAUCUACAAAACUCUGCUGUCGUUUCUCAUGGACUGAAGAGAUCAGAAGAAAUGGAGGUUGUACGAGAAGCUAUUGAAAGUCUGCGGAGCUGUUU